rnacentral:snoRNA from 1 species
UCGCUCUAAAUGAUGAUAUUAUACCGGUUAAAUGCAUAGUUCAACUGACUUAUUGAUUGAAGAAAAAAAUACCAUUGAAAUUAGUCUUUCGCUCCUAUCUGAUUUGAGACU